ACGAAGGGUGCAAGCGUUACUCGGAAUUACUGGGCGUAAAGCGUGCGUAGGUGGUUUGUUAAGUCUGAUGUGAAAGCCCUGGGCUCAACCUGGGAAUGGCGAUGGAUACUGGCGAGCUAGAGUACGGUAGAGGAGAGUGGAAUUCCCGGUGUAGCAGUGAAAUGCGUAGAGAUCGGGAGGAACAUCAGUUGCGAAGGCGGCUCUCUGGACCAGUACUGACGCUGAGGCACGAAAGCGUGGGGAGCAAACAGGA
rnacentral:rRNA from 1 species